rnacentral:lncRNA from 1 species
CUCAGCAGACCACCGCCCUGUUACACUGCCUAACACAGAAAUAUCAUAGUGUGAUAAAAAAAAAUGUCAGACUAUAGUAUGAUAUAAAAAUGUUAUAGUACAGUUUGAUAAAAAUAUAGUAUAAUAAAAAAAGUCAUUGGAUAAAAUGAUAAAAACAUCAUAGGAUAGUAUGAUGAUAAAAUGUCAUAGUACAGUGUGAUAAAAAUGCCAUAUUAUAGUAUGGUAAAGUUAUACAUUAGUGGUGCAACGGAUCACAAAACUCACGGAUCGGAUCGUUCCUCGGAUCAAGAGUCACGGAUCGGAUCAUUUUUCGGAUCAGCAAAAAGAAAAAAUAUAUAUAAAUAAUAUAUAUAUAAAAGUAGUGCACAGGGCAUAAUAUCUUCUUUUUAAUAUAAUUAUUCAUGAAAAACAACUUAAAGUACAGUAUACAGGCAUAUCUCCUUCCUUUAAAAUGUAACAAUGAACCAGAAAUGAAGUGUGUGCGCGAUGGGAUGUCGUAACGUGACUCAAGCACUUUCAGCAUGUUUUUAAAGCCCUCGUUUUGCACAACUGAAUACGGCCUCAUGUCUGCAGCUAUAAACACACCGAUAGAGUUUGUGAAAGCUUUAGCCUGGUCGGAUUGCGCAGGAAGAGGCUGCUUAAAUGCUGCGGUGAUGAGCGGUUGUUGGGCAGCUUUCGUUUUAUCUCAGGUGUUAUGCCAAAGAAUGCACCCCUGCCGUAUAGUGCACCCCCUAACGGGAGCGCGGUUGAAAGUACAUAACAAGGCGAAAUAAUACAAGUUUUCCUUACGUUGGAUGUAUUCAACAGCGUUUGCCUUUAAUAAUUUCAUUCAGGCUAUUCAUAUCAAAUAUGAGAUCAUUAUCUCCACUUUAAGAAGCUAACGGGUGGAGGGGAUGCAGGGGGUGCGUUCUACGGCAGGGGUGCAAUCUACGGCACAACACCUGUCAGUAAAACACCCGGGUGAUGUCGCUUCAAAUGCGUGAACAUGCUCGAUGUGUUUCCACUGUCAUAUGGCUUUCUUAUGCCACAGUGCCUACACUCCGUCGCAGUUUUGUACACUGACCUCUUUCCUUCUUCAUCAUAAUUGACAGGGAAGCCAAAAUGCUCCCAUACAGGGGAUUUAAGUGUCGCGGGGCGUUCGAGCUCCUCCUUUCUCCGCUUUCAGAAAUCGAUCCGCGGAUCACAUGUGUGCCGAACCGAAUACGUCGAUCCGAACGGAUCACGGAUCAAUGAUGAUCCGUUGCACCACUACUAUACAUUAAAGUAUAAACAAAGGAAAGUGAAAAAAAAUUAAACUGAAGUAUGAAAAAAUGUCAGAGCAAUAUAUUAAAUAUAUAGUUUAGUAUGAUAAAAAUGUCGAAGUAUAGUUUGUUAAAAAAUCAGGGCUCUCAAGUCUCACGCACUCAGCGUGAGACACACGCAUUCCCACCUGUUCACACGCUCACACGCCACACAUCGUAUUUCUCACGCAUUUAAAUGAACAUGGUGAUGUUCACCAAGUUGCACCUCUUUAACUAUGGAACAGGUACGAAUCAACUGAGUUCCUCCGAGAGUUCAGAAGCUGCGUGCCACGCGCAAGCCAAUCAAAUAAAGUAUAUCUACUGAACAGCCAAUCAAAAAGCAGCAUUGCUGUAUCCGGGUAGAUUUUGAUAUCUUGCGGUUUGACUACAGAAGACAGACACUCGCCGUAAUAGAGCAGGUUAUUUAUAAGGACGAGAAAGACCCGAUGAUUACAGUAAGUCAGUAACCGACACAUGCAGAGACCUCAACACCUCAUGGCAGAUAAACUCAUAUGAUAAACUAAAGCCCUAUGCUAUUGCUAUUAACAGCUGUAUUGACGGAUUUAGCCUCCGUACAGCCAUUUCCAGCCAUUUUCCCCUCCACAAAAGCUGCAUUUCUCAUAUAUCUCAAAUAUAAGUUCUGAUACUCAUGACAGUGUAAUGCUCAUGUACCAAAGGAUUAAGUAUCUCCAUGUUUGUGAAACCUAUACUAAAGUACAAUUCAUCUAAAUGCUCCACAGUGCAGAUUUUAACAACUUUACGACUUAAUACUUAUACAUUAAUGAUUUUAUUCUCCCAAAUAAUAACUUUAUUCUGUAAGAUAUAAAAACGUUUUUUUCUAAUUGUGCCCCUUGUGCUCCGUUGUAUUUAAGAGAUAAUUAUACUAAUAGUUAUCUUCACCCCCCCCCCCCCCCAGGAAAUCUCACUCUAAGCUUAGUUCAAAACUUGAGAGCCCUGAAAAAAUGUCAGAGUACAGUACGAUAAAGUCGACCCGGCUGCCAAAUUCAUGGAGUUUUUGAGCCCCAGAGGGUGUAAAGGUUUUAAAGUUAAUGAUAAUAAUAAGUAUAAUAAUAACAAUAAUGAAAAUAAUAAUAAUUCCUGUAAUUUCAAUAAAGCUCAGACAGGAAGCUCCCCUCAGUCUGCUUCAUCCAGAACCUGCUCCGUAUUGUGGUUACAGCAGGCGUGACUAAUCGAUCACAGGCAUCAUUCCGGAGAGACUAAACAAGUUGAUCACAGAUCAAAUGUAGGAAAGCGUGUUGCAUUCACUCAUUCAUGUAACGACGAGAGAAGCUCUAGAAAAAGGAAACGUCUGUUUUUAUUCCAGCUGCUGUGACGGUGGGUAAACAGGAAACAGACGACAGAGUCCGGUCAGGUGUGUCAACUUUUUAAUAAAUAAACCGGAAAUCAGUUUCCAGGACAGAAAGCACUUGUGCGACAUUCGUGCGUAACAAACAGGAGCAUUCGUUGAGGCCAAAAGUUACGAGUUUAAAACGAUUCUGAGAGUGUAAACAGAGUCUGAUCAGAUCCAAAGGUGUAAAAUGCAACAGUGGAGGAGGCUUCACAUCACGGUUUUAGGUUAAAAGUGGGCUGGCUGUAGCCCACAUGCUCUGGUUUAGACCUGGUUCUGGUUCUGGUUCUUGGCCCGGCUGAAUGCCCUGCUGACAUCUGAAGUCUGAAAAGUCAAACACGUUGAAAAGCAGCGUACAAACACACGGCUAGCUACAGCAGAUGAGCGCGACACCCAUCGAAGGCACGCCAACAACACCCGGCUUCUUCCCCAGACGGUGAAUCCCGUCGAGACAAGGAGCUACGAUGAUCGGCCGCCUCUCAAAGAAGGUCAAAGGUCAAUUAAAAAUGCCUCUUUGGCACUUAAAACUACACGUUAAAGGAACAGUUCCACAUUUGUUCAUUUCUGUCUCUGUACGUUUGAUAGGAAGCCACAGCCUGUUAGCCAACACCGAGGGCGGACACGGGAAAGAGCGAGCGCGUUUAAAAUCUGACCUAAACGCUCAGGUCCACGAAAAAAACGUUUUCACCAGUUUAGAGAAACGGCGGCUUCAGCCAUGACUGUUACAUUUCCAUAUGUCCUCUUAACGGGGCCAAAGUUACACACCUGUUCUUGUCUGCUUGUACAUGGACACCGUUGCUAUGGUGAUUGGGGUCUCCCAGGGUAAAAGGAGGGAAAAACACGAUCAGCUGUUAAACAGGAAACAGCUGACCCUUCAGAUCUGCUGAACCUGUUCAUAGUCCUGAAACUGAACCCGGACAAAUUCUCAUUUCUUCCACUUUAAAGGGAUAAAAAUUAAUUUAGGGUCAAACCCACCGUAACACCGAGUCAGACCCCCCCCUCCAGAGAUGAAUGUUAUUACUUCAAGGAAAUGAUAAAGAAAUGAUCAUAAAUGUUCUUCCUUGAGCUGCGGCACCCCGCUGUAGUCCAUAAUGGAAGAGAGUAGGUGAGUUGUGUUUAGUCUCUUUGCUAAAGAAAUGAGUCAAAGUUAAAAAGAUGUUUGGUGUCUAGUACUAUGGCUGUGACCCUAUAUGUACUAACCUCAGUAGAACAUGGUGUAGUUCCGUUCAGUAACAGAACCUCAUUGGAAAAUUAGCUGAUUUAACUUUACUGUGCUCUUGUUCACAUAUAUUAACUCAACAGCACAUAAAUCCAUACCUGUUAACAAAAUCAUGAUUUUAUUGAUAAUUCGGCUCAAUAAAAACACCUUUACCUUUUCAUUUUACUACAGUAGAAGUUUAUUGGCCCAGUUUAUAGACUACAGAGGUGGAGAAACGCCCCCGCUUAAGUUUAUGUUUUCUGAAUAUAGUACUAUGUCUGUGACCCUAUAUGUCCUGUUGAUGAAGUUAGGUGCUGUUCUGAGCAUUAUUUGUGGCUAUAGAGUGGCGUUUUGGUUGGGGGCGUGGCUCUCUGUAUUACUAUCCUGCGGUCGUUACUAAAGUUGGUAUAACUAGAGAAGGAAGCGGUCGACAACAUUCAUCUCUGGAGGGGGCGGGGUCUAACUGGGUGUUACAGUGGGUUUGACCCUAAAUUAAUAUAACGCCAGAAUAUCCUUUUGAAUUGGUAAGAAAAAAAAAAACAGCAUACAUUAAUCUGCCUGUAGAGGGUAAACGUGUGUGUGUGUGUGUGUGUGUGUGUGUUCACUGAGAACACACUCGGUGUAAAAUCUCAGCAGCUGAGCUUCAUAUCAAACAGAGACGAGAGCGGCGUCCAUCUUUCUGUCUGUAUUCACUCAUGUUCAGCCUCUAGUGGACACUCAGGGAAGUGCGGUUUUU